AGAGCGAACGCUGGCGGCAGGCCUAAUACAUGCAAGUCGAACGGAUCCUUCGGGAUUAGUGGCGGACGGGUGAGUAACACGUGGGAACGUACCCUUUGGUUCGGAACAACUCAGGGAAACUUGAGCUAAUACCGAAUGUGCCCUUCGGGGAAAAGAUUUAUCGCCAUUGGAGCGGCCCGCGUCUGAUUAGCUAGUUGGUAGGGUAACGGCCUACCAAGGCGACGACGGGUAGCCGGCCUGAGAGGGCGACCGGCCACACUGGGACUGAGACACGGCCCAGACUCCUACGGGAGGCAGCAGUGGGGAAUAUUGCACAAUGGGCGAAAGCCUGAUGCAGCGACGCCGCGUGAGGGAUGAAGGCCUUCGGGUUGUAAACUGCUUUUCUCUGUGACGAAUAUGACGGUAGCAGAGGAAUAAGGACCUGCUAACUACGUGCCAGCAGCCGC
rnacentral:rRNA from 1 species